ACAGGUUAGAGGUCCGCCUGCCCUGUGACUAUAUGUUUAACGGCCGCGGUAUUUUGACCGUGCGAAGGUAGCGCAAUCACUUGUCUUUUAAAUGGGGACCUGUAUGAAUGGCAUAACGAGGGCUUGACUGUCUCCUCUUUCAAGUCAAUGAAAUUGAUCUCCCCGUGCAGAAGCGGGGAUAAACACAUAAGACGAGAAGACCCUAUGGAGCUUUAGACACUAAAGCAGAUCAGCAUUAACAUCCUCAAUAACGGGACACAAAUCAGCUGACCCCUGCCCUAUGUCUUUGGUUGGGGCGACCGCGGAGAAAUAAAAAACCCCCGCAAGGACCGAAUGUACUUCAUUCACAACCAAGAGCGACAGCUCUAAUUAACAGAAUUUCUGACCAGUAAGAUCCGGCAAUGCCGAUCAAUGAACCGAGUUACCCUAGGGAUAACAGCGCAAUCUCCUCUUAGAGUCCAUAUCGACGAGGAGGUUUACGACCUCGAUGUUGGAUCAGGACAUCCUAAUGGUGCAGCCGCUAUUAAGGGUUCGUUUGUUCAACGAUUAAAGUCCUAACGUGAUCUGAGUUCAGAACCGGGA
rnacentral:rRNA from 1 species